CACGGGUGAGUAACACGUAUCCAACCUGCCGUCUACUCUUGGCCAGCCUUCUGAAAGGAAGAUUAAUCCAGGAUGGCAUCAUGAGUUCACAUGUUCACAUGAUUAAAGGUAUUCCGGUAGACGAUGGGGAUGCGUUCCAUUAGAUAGUAGGCGGGGUAACGGCCCACCUAGUCUUCGAUGGAUAGGGGUUCUGAGAGGAAGGUCCCCCACAUUGGAACUGAGACACGGUCCAA
rnacentral:rRNA from 1 species